rnacentral:rRNA from 1 species
GCCCUUCGCAAAUUACCCACUCUCAGAACGGGGAGGUAGUGACGAAAAAUAACGAGGUAAUCCACUUUGUGGCUUGCCAUCGGAAUGGGCACAAUAUAAAUCUUUUAACGAGGAUCUAUUAGAGGGCAAGUCUGGUGCCAGCAGCCGCGGUAAUUCCAGCUCUAAUAGUGUAUAUUAAAAUUGUUGUGGUUAAAACGCCCGUAGUUGGAUCUUCGGUCUUGAAGCUCGGUAGCCCGUAAGGGUUUAACUGAGUCUUCUGGCCUCGAUUCUAGUUUUCUCCUGAUGCUCUUUAUUGAGUGUCUUGAGUAGCUAGGAAUUUUACUUUGAAAAAAUUAGAGUGCUAAAAGCAGGCUAUACGCUUGAAUAAAGUGCAUGGAAUAAUGGAAUACGACUUUAGUCUUAUUUUGUUGGUUUUCGAGAUUAAAGUAAUGAUUAAGAGGAACAGCCGGGGGCAUUUGUAUUGUUGCGUUAGAGGUGAAAUUCUUGGAUCGCAGCAAGACAAACAACUGCGAAAGCAUUUGCCAAGAAUGUUUUCAUUAAUCAAGGACGAUAGUUAGAGGUUCGAANGCGAUCAGAUCCGCCCUAAUUCUAACCGUAAACGAUGCCCACUAGCGAUCCGCNGCGUUAAAAUUUGACUCGGCGGGCAGCUUNCNGGAAACCAAAANUUUUGGUUCCNGGGGAAGUUUGGUUGCCAAACUUAAACUUAAA